GGCACCAUGGUUUAGUUGGUUAAAACACCUGUCUAGUAAACAGGAGAUCCUGGGUUCAAAUCCCAGCGUUGCCU